rnacentral:rRNA from 1 species
GACGAACGCUGGCGGCGUGCUUAACACAUGCAAGUCGAACGGAAAGGCCCUGCUUUUGUGGGGUGCUCGAGUGGCGAACGGGUGAGUAACACGUGAGUAACCUGCCCUUGACUUUGGGAUAACUUCAGGAAACUGGGGCUAAUACCGGAUAGGAGCUCCUGCUGCAUGGUGGGGGUGGGAAAGUUUCGGCGGUUGGGGAUGGACUCGCGGCUUAUCAGCUUGUUGGUGGGGUAGUGGCUUACCAAGGCUUUGACGGGUAGCCGGCCUGAGAGGGUGACCGGCCACAUUGGGACUGAGAUACGGCCCAGACUCAUACGGGAGGCAGCAGUGGGGAAUAUUGCACAAUGGGCGGAAGCCUGAUGCAGCAACGCCGCGUGCGGGAUGACGGCCUUCGGGUUGUAAACCGCUUUCGCCUGUGACGAAGCGUGAGUGACGGUAAUGGGUAAAGAAGCACCGGCUAACUACGUG